rnacentral:lncRNA from 1 species
CAUCAAUUACAGGAAGAUCUUUUGCGAAAAUAUGGAAGCGUUUCCAUUCUUAAUCUAUUAAAGAUAGAUUGGUUCCUUUUCUUCAUUCUAUCUAAAAGUGGUUUGUUAUUCAUCUGUUUCUGAGUCAUGGUUUCUUUCAAUCGGCGUUACAGACUUACAAUCAUCGAUCGUUUCUUUCAAUCGGUGUUUCAAACUCUUUGAUCGUACCAUAUACAGUUGAUUUCAACAGGUAUGUUUAUCAGAAACACUAAUUUUAGGUUUCUGAUGUAAAAUUGUUCAUCAGACACACGAAUUUUUUGUUGAAGAAAAUACAAAUUGUAUUUUCUUUGUUGAUUCAAGCAUAAAUACGGAUUCCUUAGGAGCGGGUUGGAUUAGUCCCGAGACAAGAACGAUUGGAUAUUUUUGUACGAUUAUGGAUUAUCUGUGUUUGAUGAAAUGCUACAUAUGAUCAAGUGGAGCAGUUGUUAAAAUUCUCUUUGUUUUAUGAUUCUUAUGUUUUCCAAUUGCCUUUUUUCUACUAAUAUAAUUAUAUAACAUGUACACUUGCAGACAGUUUGUGCAUAUGCAGAAUGCAUCAGCAACGGAGUAUGUCUUUCUAACGCGUCUCGCCUGGCUAUUAAGAUACAUGAUGUUUGAUACUUUGAUGUAAUGCCUUACUGAUCCGCUAACAAGUGUGACUGAGUUUUAUUAUUCUUCACAAGAAAUUUGUAAACUGGUAAUGAUCCAAAGGUCUGUAGCUGGUGGUUUAGGUAUCAAUCUUGCACACCAGAUAUUGUCAUCAUUUUUGAAUCAGAUUGGAAUCCUCAGAAUGAUCUGCAGGCAAUGUGCAGAGCUCACAGAAUUGGACAACAAGAAGUCGUUAUAACAUAUUAUAAAGUAGUAUAGAUUAUCAAGCUGCUAUUGCAAUUGUCAUGGAUGUAGAUGCCACCUUGGGGAAGAAAAAAGUUGCAGAGCAGAUGAGUUUUUCAUGGUCUACAUUGACCUUUUGAAUGAGGACCUUCAUGAACAUCAGUGCAUUCUGAUUGCUUUGAACCUGCUUCUUAACCAGGUUCAUUGAAAUUAACCUGGUCACAAGCAUGUUUGCUUGGUAAACAACGCCUGACGUUCGAUGCAAUGAUUCCGCUCUAAUUAGUGCAG